rnacentral:lncRNA from 1 species
GGCUCCCCUUUAUUUAUUUUAUUUUAUUUACUUUAUUUCAGAUGGUAAAGAAUCUUCCUGCAAUGCAGGAGACCCAGGUUCAAUUCUUGGGUCAGGAAAAUCCCCUGGAGAAGGGAAUGGCAACAACCCACUUCAGUAUUCUUGCCUGAAGAAUUCCAUGGACAGAGGAUCCUGGCAGGCUAUAGUCUCUGGGGUCAAAAAGAAUUGGACAUGACUGAGCAAGUAACACUAAGUGAAAUAUCACUGCCAGGGAGAACAACACAGCAAGACAGCAGGAGAGAGAUCAGAGAACAUCCUUCACCCACAGACGUCUUAAACCAUAAAGACAAUGGUUUGGAUGGCUUGAGAACAGCAGUGCCUUUAAACUAAUAGCAAAUCAUCUCAAUAAGAAAAACUAAUGCGGUUCAUUCUUCCCUGGGAGUCUACAGUCCUACUGUGGUCAGCAAACUAAACAAGCCAAGAAGGGAAACCAACACAUUCUGCAGUGCUUAGACUAACUGGAAAUUCAGACCUGAGUGGACAUUUAGAAAGACGGGAAUUUCGCUGGAGGAUUGCAUUUUGUGUGGGUCAAAUUUCCUUCAAGAUUCAAAGAAAGAUGCAUUGGCAGUUCCUCAUAUUAUGAAAGUAAGAAUCUCAUAGUUCUUAGACAUUUCUAAGAAAUGAAGUUUCAACCAACUAAUGCAUUAGAGACAAGCAAAAAUGCUUCCAUUCUGGUCCUUGUCACUGGUUAAGAAUCAAGUGGGUGGGGGUGGGGUGGGAUAGAUUAAUUAAUGAAUCUUAGUAGAAAGGUUAUGGUGUGUUCCCUGAACCAGUCUUUCAAAAUGAGCCCUUUUCAGAUCUUUCUAAAUUGAUAUGAAUAUAGAUUUAUUAAAUACUACGGUAUAAAUCACACUUCAUUUUACUGCACUUUGCCUCACUGUGCUUUGUAGAUACUGUGUUUUUCGCAAAUUGAAGGUCUGUGGUAACCCCCACCUCUAACAAGUCUGUUAGUCCUGCUUUCCAGCAGCAUUUGCUCACUUCACGUUUCUGUGUCACAUUUCAGUGGUUUUGAUGCUUUCUCAUUGUUAUCCUUGGUGUGGUGACCCGUAAUCUGAUUACUACUAUCAUGACUCGCUGAAGCCUCAGAUGAGGGUUAGAAGGUAUGGAUGUUAUUUUUUAGACAUAAAGCUACUGCACACGUAAUGCUGUUAUACAC